rnacentral:rRNA from 1 species
GAUUCUGGCUCAGGAUGAACGCUGGCGGCGUGCCUAACACAUGCAAGUCGAACGGAAACUAAGCGCUUCGGAGACUUCGGUCAAUGUUUGCUUGGUUUAGUGGCGGACGGGUGAGUAACGCGUGGAUAACCUGCCUCAUACAGGGGGAUAACAGUUAGAAAUGACUGCUAAUACCGCAUAAGCGCACGGAAUCGCAUGUUUCUGUGUGAAAAGCUCCGACGGUAUGAGAUGGAUCCGCGUCUGAUUAGCUAGUUGGCGGGGUAACAGCCCACCAAGGCGACGAUCAGUAGCCGGCCUGAGAGGGUGAACGGCCACAUUGGGACUGAGACACGGCCCAAACUCCUACGGGAGGCAGCAGUGGGGGAUAUUGCACAAUGGGGGAAACCCUGAUGCAGCGAACCGCCGCGUGAGUGAAGAAGUAUUUCGGUAUGUAAAGCUCUAUCAGCAGGGAAGAUAAUGACGGUACCUGACUAAGAAGCACCGGCUAAAUACGUGCCAGCCGCAGC